GUGGUUGUGGGCGACGGCGCCACUGUUGGAGCUGCCCUCAUGCGGCAUCCGGACGUGGAUAUGGUGUCCUUCACGGGUUCCACCGCUGUAGGCCGCAC
rnacentral:tRNA from 1 species